rnacentral:misc_RNA from 1 species
GAUGAAGAACGUAGCGAAAUGCGAUACGUAAUGUGAAUUGCAGAAUUCAGUGAAUCAUCGAAUCUUUGAACGCAUAUUGCGCUCUCUGGUAUUCCGGAGAGCAUGCUUGUUUGAGUAUCAGUAAACACCUCAACUUCCAUAUCUUUUUUGAAAUGGGAGUUGGACUUGAGUGAUCCCAACCCUUUUCCUCACCGAAAAGUGGCGGGUUACUUGAAAUGCAGGUGCAGCUGGACUUUUCUCUGAGCUAUAAGCAUAUCUAUUUAGUCUGCCUAAAAAACAGAUUAUUACCUUUGCUGCAGCUAACAUAAAGGAGAUUAGUUCUUGUGCUGACUGAUGCAGGAUUCACAAAGACAGGCUUCGGCCGACUUUGUAAACUCGAUCUCAAAUCAAGUAAGACUACCCGCUGAACUUAAGCAUAUCAAUAAGCGGAGGA